UACGGAGGGUGUAAGCGUUGUCCGGAUUUAUUGGGUUUAAAGGGUGCGUAGGUGGCUGCUUAAGUCAGUGGUGAAAGUCUGUCGCUUAACGAUAGAACUGCCAUUGAUACUGAAUAGCUUGAGUAUUGAUGAGGUAGGCGGAAUUGAUAGUGUAGCGGUGAAAUGCAUAGAUAUUAUCAAGAACACCGAUUGCGAAGGCAGCUUACUAAGGAAUAACUGACACUGAGGCACGAAAGCGUGGGGAUCAAACAGG
rnacentral:rRNA from 1 species